UGCAGGCCAGAUCUAUGAUGACAGACAAGAGGUGAAGAUGAACGAAUUGCGGGUGAGGCCAAGGUGACUUCCUUACCAGAGGUCUGAAGAACUGAACAGAGUCAUGUGAAGACCAAAUGAAACCAGACAGGGCCUGGUGUCAGACUGACAGAAGCAUCCAUGCAUAGCUCUUAUGACCUUAACCAGGAAGCAGGAGACAAUGUACAGAGGAAAAUGUCUAAAAUAUAUGAUAUCUCUUCAAGGUAUGUGGAAGUAGGAAAUAAAAUAAUGACUUGAUCUCAGUCAGUAAGAUGGGAAAAAUGCAACCUAACCAUGCCUCCUGUUUUUGCUCUCUCUUCCAUUCUGCUCCUUUUUUCUUCUCUUUCCAUGCAAAUUCUUUUAAACAGCUGUUUAGUUUUGUUUGUAAUUCAAUUUACAUAAUUUUAAACUUGUAUACCUCAGGGUUUUUUCUUCUUUCUUUUUUAAUUCACCCUACUGUUUUUAUUUCCUCUUCCAAUUUAUUUUUUAUACUUUUGGUCUUUCAGUUUUCAAUCCUUAUCAGACAUUCUUAUUUUCAUUUCUUUACUUUCUAGUUCUGCUCCCAUUUCUACUUUCUCUUCCUCUUUGCUCCUAUUCUGGAUCAGUUUCAGUUAGGAAUAUUUGAAAGUCAGAAGGAAAUGUUACAAAUUCAAUGUUAACCCUCCAUCUGCUUUGAUGACAAACUGCCUUCUUCCUAGCUACCACCCACCAAAACAUUUCCCCAAAUUUACAUGCAAGCACAAAGAUGAAUUACCUACAAACCAUGCAUGGAGGCCAGACCCUAGGCACAAGCAUCAAAAUAACCACCUCUCUUUUACUAUAUUAAAAAAUUACAUUUAGCCCCAAUAGAAUGCAUUUAAUCUUUAAACGCCUGUGCAACCCUUCAUUAAUUUGUCCUCACAAUAUAAUUAAAUAUUAUUAUCCCCAUUUAACAGACAGGGAAACCUCAAAUGAAGAGAAGUUAUGUAACCCAUAACAAAUGCAUGCACCCAUGCUACCCACAAACUUAAACAAAUUGACUCUUAUCUCUGAGACAUCUUCAACUUACACAGAUCCCAAACUGCAGUCAGAUCGUUCACUGUCCAUUGUUCAACAGCUUGCUUUAAGACAGGGAAGUUGCACAGUCAUCUUCCCUCACAGGGCAGCUUUUCAGAAGAUGAAAUGAGAGUAAACAGUAGAGACAAGGAGCAGAAAACAAACACUAGCACACAGAGUCUUGUUCCAACACUGUCAGGAUGUUUGAUAACUUUCUUUGCUUACUGAUGAUUGUAAAUACAGGUUCUUCCUGGUUCUAGUACCUGUGGUUCAGUACCUAGGUUAUUACAAGGAAAAUCACCUUGGGCAUGUGUAUGGAAAGGAUAACAUCCUGGAUGAUUAAAAAAGCUGGCAUGAUUGAAGGAUAUGCUAGAAGAUGUGGAGGCUGUGAGCAUGGGAAAGCAGGUAAUAAAUAUGGAUGCUAGGGCCUGAGGGAAGGGAGUCAGAGAGGUGUAUGGUGGAGCUCUGGAGUCAUGGGGCACAGAUGGACCAGAGAGAUUUACAGUGUAGGAAGGGAGGUGUUACAAAAUGGUUCUUAUUUUUCCUGCAGUACCUAUGAUUUUGCAUUUGUAGCAUUGUCGCAGGUGAUCUCCCUUGACAAGAAAGCUGGAAAAAAAUUCUAUCAAAUGCACACAAAAGUGAAAAUGCUGCUGACCUAUUUUACUACUAAUUACUUUUUAACUGUUCUGACUAGUUCUACUGGUACCAAAGUGUCACUAGGGGAAGAUAAUAGGCCUCCAGGACCUCAGGCAGUAGCAUAAACAAAGCCAUCAAAGACCAUGGCAAAAAUAUUAAUGAGGAGGGAAAGGGAAGACAUGGUAAACGCAUGUCAUCUGGAAAGUAUGACCAUUCCUUAUGCAGAAAGCACUCACAAAGAGGAUGGUAAGUUCUAUUCUUCCUAGUCACAGUUUUCACCUAAGAACAAGCAAGAGAUCAGCCUCCAAAUGUGGGACUCUUCAAAGAGCUAGGCAGAUUUUGCAGGGCAGGAGGAGCCCCAUCAAGGCUUUCCUCCAGUAGUAUUUAGAUGCUUAAAGUAGUAUUUAGAUGUAUACAGAAGUUGCUUUUUUUGCCAUUUAAAGCACUUUAUUGUUGUAACUUAACAGCAGUGCAUGGCUUUACAGCACUUUAAAAACAGGGACAGCGCUUUAAAUUAACCUGUGUUAUAUGCAGUAUUAAAAUUUGAAGCACUGUAUUUUGCAGCCUUUUAGCAACCUGCAGUGCUUUAAAUAACUUCUGUACUCCGUUCAAACUUCUGACCAGAGAAGAAGCCCCAGGAAACUGCAGAGCACCACCUGCCUCCUAGCCUGGAAAUUGCUGGGAGGCUCACAGCCCUCUCCCCUAACAAAAAACACUCAACUUCUGUCAUGUUUAAGAGUGCUGUAAAUUCAUAGUGCAAUAAAAAGUGCUCUAAAUUACAGUCCUGUAAAACAUGCACAGUGCAUUUCUGUACACACCCUUAAUUCUUAUAGAGGUGCCUAAGCCCCAAUUCAAUCAGUGUCUAACUUUCUAAGGAAGCUAAAUACCUUUGAAGUCUUUCAGCUUCCACAGUGCUUUCUGGCCCGCCAAUGUCACCAUGGUAACAAGGCUUUCAACAAGAAUCAAGCUUUCAAGAGAGUUCUCUAUUUCCAACCUGGACCUGGACCUACCUCUUUCUCUCUCAGAGAAGUGCCCAAAGGUUCCAGUCAGGAUUGGAGCCUGAUUUUGCUGGAUGCUGUACAAGGAUGAAAAGACUAGCCUACAGUCUAUGGACACUAUGCUGGAUGCUUGCAUGCUUUGCUGGCUGGGACACAUGGAGUGCAUGCCUGAAGGUUGUCUACUGAAGGCUGUGCUCUAUGGCCAACUCAAGAACUGCCCAUGAUGUAGAGGAAGGCCAAAGCUUUGAUACAGUGACACGGUCAAGCAAGGUCUCAAGAGAUUCAGCAUUCCCACAGUCAACUGGGAGAACCCUGCCCACAAUAACUGACUCUGGAGAAGCUGGGUCAGGGCUGGUGCAGUCACCAUGGAGAGCCAUCAGAGAGCCCAGGCUGAGGCCUGCAGGUGAGCGAGGAAGCAGUGUGCGCUUCAAUCUCCAUCUGAUGAGUGGAUCUGUAGCCACUGUGGGAAGGUUUGCCACUUGUGCAUUGGGCCCUUCUCCCACACCACUGCCAAGUACCAGUGACUGACUUUGUUGCAUUUCCUUUGAUCUGUCAAGAUGUUGGAUGGCCAUAUAUACAAAGAUGAAAGCACAGUUCCUGACACACAUUCUAAAAGACACUAAAACAGACAAAAUGUGGGGCCAAGGAGUAUAGAUAGAUAGGAACAAUCAUGAAAAGGCAGAUGACUGGUAUAGACUUGUUAGUUGUUUAGUUAGGAACUGGAAGUAAUGUAGAGGAGGGGGGCAGGAGGAGUUAGGAAGAGUAAGGGGGUAAGGAAAGGAAGAUAGAGGAGGGGCUUCUCAUCUAGUCAGGCAAAACUGAUAUGGCUUUAUAGGCACUGAAGCAGUUGAUGUGGCUUUGUAAGAACUGAAGCAUGGGCAAGGUUUAAAGAGGAAGGAUAAAGUCAUGGCAUUAUGUAUUUGGGGAGGGCAGUUUAAACUUGACAAAGUUGCGGCCACUAGUACACUGAUACUACUCCCUGUCAUACUAUUUUGUUGUUUCUAAAUGCUCCCUUCUCUUUCUCAUCAUAGAGUUUAAGCAGUUUGGGGCAAGCAAUUUGUUUUGUGUUUCUACAGCUUAAGCACACAAUGGGAUCCAGGCCAUGGACUAGGCCUUCUAAAGGCUAUGGUGAUACAAUUACUAAUAAAUAAUAGUGCAAGGAAGCACAGGCAUGCUUAAGAGAGAAGCUAGGUGGGUGGUAAUGGUAAAAUAGUGCAGGUCAGAACUGUGAUAUGAGAGCUAAGAGGCUAAAGACUAUAAUGGAAUUAAGCCUCCGUGACCUGGGAGUCCAGAGUCUAUAGAAAAGGGCUAAACUGUGAAGAGAUGUAAAUACCUUGACUUUAGCAUGGCUUUUUACACUGCCUCCCAUGAGAUUCUCAUUAAGAAGCUAAGGAAAUACAGAUGAGAGGAGUACUGCCAGGUGGAUACAAAACCAGUUGGAUCAUUGUGCUCAAUGUUUCGUUGGGAGGAGGUAUUGAGUGGAGUUGCCCGGGGUCUGUCCUGGCCUCUGGUAUUGCUUAGUAUCUUCAUUAAUUAUUUGGAUGAUGGGAUUGAGUGCAUGUUUAGCAAAUUUAUGGAUGACAUGAAGUUGGGUGGAAUUGUAGACUCUCUGGUGGGUACAGCUAAAAUCCAGAAUAAUGUGGAUAAUCUGGUGAAAUGGUCUGCAAUCAUUCAGAUAAGAUGCAACACUCUUAUGCAGACUCACAUCAAUGGAUGAGAGAGGGUCAUUAUCAUUUCAAAUGAGACCAGCAAAGCACUGCACACACCUGCUGCUCUGUACAUGCAGAUCUUACUAAAAUAACAAUGAUGUCUUUAUGGAAGAAUGAUCUAGGUCCUCAGAUGGUAUCAAUUAGCCUAGUUUCAUCAGCUGAAGUGGAUCUACCCAGAAUUUCCCUAGCUUGGGAUCUGACCCAAGCUCUCUUCAGGACAUAUGGGCCACAUUUCUCAAAGCUGGAAGUGCUUGCACUUGGGCACUCAAUGUCAUGGUUAGGCACCUAAAUGAAAGAGGUACGUUUGUUCAGAAAUGACUUCAAUCUACAGUUGCAGGUACUUGGCACUUCCGAGAACCAGUCCACAGCUAUUUAAAUGCAUUACAGUAAUGGCAAUCUCCAGCAUUAGGGUUUCAUGCUGAUAAACAGUAUUUGACAUCUUAUUAUUCAGAUCUGCAAUUACUAGAUCAGAAAGGACAAUCAUGAUCGUAUAGUCUGACUUUCUGUAUACCACAAACCAUUGGAUUUCUCCUUGAGGUUCCUGCAUCAUACCCCAUAACUUGUAGUUGAAUUAGAGCACAUCAUUUGGGAAGGCACCUGGUCAAGAUUUAGAGAUUCCAAGAGAUGGCAAAACCACUGCAUUUCUUGGAGCCACUGGUUAUACUUACCUGAGUCUUAGUACCACUGUCUUUUUAUUUCAGUCCUUAAAUCAGGAAGAGAUUGGAUGACUCAUGUCAGCAUAACUUUUCUGCUGUAUGAAAUUUCUGUUCCAUGAAACUUGCACCCAUAGGUGACUGGUAGGGGGUGCAUGGGAGUGCACAUGACCCCCUGGCAGCUCACAUUGAUACUGUCAGUAGGGCUGGUGCUCCCCCUGACAGGGCUGCCACCACCAGCAGCUUCUGUGGAUGCCCCCACCCCAGGUUCAGGAAGCACCAGUCACUCAUGCUUGCACCCAUUUCAAAUGAGAGAUUCUAGCUAUAAUUUUGAUUGCUGAUGUUAACAAUUGUGUUGUGUAAGCACUUGAGUGCUUCAUUGCCUAAUAAACGUGAAUGAUAGCUGCACUCAGAAGCAGAAUUAAAAGGAUGAGCUAUUAAUUUAGUGGGGUUACAGGACAGCAAGAAAUCUUCAGCUAAUCUAUUCUUCUGAAAACUUUUGAGGUUCUUGGAUUUCCUUCCCAGGUAACUUUCCUGGAUAAUAACUUGAUUAGGAAAUAUAGAAGUCCAAACAUGUCAGAAAUAUUUUUUGUAUACUAAUUUAAAGUUAAAGAAAAGACUAGAUCUUUCAUAUUCUUCUGAACAGAAAGACUUUAACAAGAGCCACUGAUGAGAGGUUGGGAGAAUUUAUUUUUUCAGUAUUUAUAGCAAAUCCAAGAUCUUCAGUUCAGGGUUCUGCCCAAAAAGAAGCCCACCGGACUUUCUAAAUGUUAUUAUUUAUUCAUCCUAAUGUUUUAAGGCAUCCUCUCUAUAUUUUAGUAGCCUUCUUCAUUUCUCUUAGUCACUUGUUAAAUCAUUUACACAUGCCUGUACUAAUUGACCUUCUUCAUCAAUGACAGGAAAACAGCUGGUGUCAAAACACAGCUAUGGUUGGCUGAUAUAAAACUACAGGAGCCCGAUUCUCCAUUACUAUGAACCUCCUGUAGUCAUUUAUGUGAAGGCAGAGUGGACAUAAAAAGCCAUCUGAUCAAAAUGGCCAGGGGGUGCCCUUCCACCCACUUUACACUGGUAAAAAUAAUGGCAUAAGGUACAGAGCCAGCAAGAAUCGAGAAAGAUGGAAAAGUUACAGCUUAUGCUUUUUAA